AACGAACGCUGGCGGCAGGCUUAACACAUGCAAGUCGAACGCCCCGCAAGGGGGUUGGAAGACGGGUGAGUAACGCGUGGGAACAUACCCUUUUCUACGGAAUAGCUCUGGGAAACUGGAAUUAAUACCGUAUACGCCCUACGGGGGAAAGAUUUAUCGGGGAAGGAUUGGCCCGCGUUGGAUUAGCUAGUUGGUGGGGUAAAGGCCUACCAAGGCGACGAUCCAUAGCUGGUCUGAGAGGAUGAUCAGCCACAUUGGGACUGAGACACGGCCCAAACUCCUACGGGAGGCAGCAGUGGGGAAUAUUGGACAAUGGGCGCAAGCCUGAUCCAGCCAUGCCGCGUGAGUGAUGAAGGCCUUAGGGUUGUAAAGCUCUUUCACCGAUGAAGAUAAUGACGGUAGUGGGAGAAGAAGCCCCGGCUAACUUCGUG
rnacentral:rRNA from 1 species